AACCGGCCCUCGCCUCAGCCCCGUCCCAGCAUACUCUCCGGGUCCUCGCUGGCGGUGGGCGGGCCAGGGAGGACAAGCACUGGAGCCCACACCAGUUAUCCUAUUGAAAGAGGGGACUGAUAGCUCCCAAGGCAUCCCCCAGCUUGUGAGUAACAUCAGUGCCUGCCAGGUGAUUGCUGAGGCUGUAAGAACUACCCUGGGUCCCCGUGGCAUGGACAAGCUUAUUGUAGAUGGCAGAGGCAAAGCAACAAUUUCUAAUGAUGGGGCCACAAUUCUGAAACUUCUUGAUGUUGUCCAUCCUGCAGCAAAGACUUUGGUAGACAUUGCCAAAUCCCAAGAUGCUGAGGUGGGUGAUGGCACCACCUCAGUGACCUUGCUGGCUGCAGAGUUUCUGAAGCAGGUGAAACCCUAUGUGGAGGAAGGUUUACACCCCCAGAUCAUCAUUCGAGCUUUCCGCACAGCCACCCAGCUGGCAGUUAACAAGAUCAAAGAGAUUGCUGUGACCGUGAAGAAGGCAGAUAAAGUGGAGCAGAGGAAGCUGCUGGAAAAGUGUGCCAUGACCGCUCUGAGCUCCAAGCUGAUCUCCCAGCAGAAAGCUUUCUUUGCUAAGAU
rnacentral:sRNA from 1 species